AUCACCUAUCCACCUCUUACAGUUCCCUUUGAACUGAAAUCAGGUUUGAUUCAUCAUCUCCCUAAAUUUAGAGGUUUGCAAAAUGAAAAUCCACAUAAGCACUUAAAAGAAUUUAAAAUUAUUUGCUCAUCCAUGAGACCUCAAGGGAUCUCUGAAGAUCAUGUUAAACUAAGAGCCUUCCCAUUUUCAUUAGAUGACCAUGCUAAGGAUUCGUUAUUUUAUUUGCCACCUGGAUCUAUAACUUCUUGGGAUGAUAUGGUCCAAGCCUUUUUGGACAAAUACUUCCCACCAUCUAAAUCAAUUGGCAUAAUAAGAGAAAUCACUAGCAUAAGGCAAAAACCAACUGAGGACUUAUAUGAUUAUUGGGAAAGGUUUGAAAGAUAUGUACAGGUUGUCCACAACAUGAUAUGUCAGACAAAGCCCUCAUUCAGUUCUUCUAUGGAGGAUUGAUUCCAUCAGAAAGGAAACUCAUAAAUGUAGCCUGUGGAGGAUCUAUCUUAGACAAGACACCAAGGGAGAUAAAGGAACUAAUAUCCAAUCUUGCAGCUUCAUCUAAGCAAUAUGAAGAAGAGGGGCAAACGCAAAGAGGAAUCUAUGAGGUAAGAACAUCCUCUGUUGAAUCUAAAAUUUCAAAACUAACAUCUCUUGUGGAAAAGAUCGCCCUUGGCCAAGUGCAACAGAUUCAAGCACCCCAGCCUCCUAGGCCAUGUGAGAUCUGUUUACAUGUAGGACACCCCACUGAUCAGUGUCCUACUCUCCAAGAAGAUCAUCGCCAAGUCAAUGCUAUUGGGAGGUACAACAACCAACCUAGAUAUGAUCCAUACUCCAAUACAUACAAUCCAGGUUGGAAAGAUCACCCUAAUUUUAGCUAUGGAAAGAGCAACAGUGAUCAGAACUACCAAAGUUACCAAAGAAAUCAAGCCCAACCAGCACCUUCAAAUCCAAAUCAGAACCUUGAGAAGAUCAUGCAAACAAUGAUGGAAACAAUGGUGAGCACCAUGCAAGGCGUGCGACAAGACCUAGGCCAAAUGACCACAUCUAUGCAAGGCGUGCGAUAAGACCUAGGCCAAAUGACCACAUCUAUGCAAGGCGUGCGACAGGACCUAAGCCAAAUGGCCACCUCUAUAGGCCAACUGCAAUCCCAAGGUAAGCUCCCUUCUCAAACUGAAACCAACCCUAGACAGAAUGUUAGUGCUAUUACUUUGAGAAGUGGCAAAGAGCUUCAAGAUACUAAUCAUGAGCAAGAAAAAGAACCAAAGCCACCUGAAGCCUCUCCAUCGCAAUCCGCAGCUCCUCCUGCGCAAAAGACUGACCCAAAGGUAAGCUUUCACAUUCCACCUCCUUUUUCCAAGAGAUUUGAAAGAACACAAAAAGAAAAGGAAGAAAAGGAGAUCCUUGACACUUUCAGAAAAGUACAAAUCAAUAUACCUCUGCUAGAUGCUGUUAAGCAGAUUCCCAGGUACGCUAAAUUUCUGAAAGAACUUUGCACUAAUAGGAGAAAGCUUGCAGAGAGAGAAAAAGUAAGUGUAGGUGAGGUUGUGACUGCUGUCAUUAAAAGAGAACUCCCUACUAAAUGCAAAGACAAAGGUAUGUUUGCUAUCUCUUGCAAGAUAGGGAAUGUUGGUAUAAGGAAAGCCAUGUGUGAUCUUGGUGCAUCCAUAAAUGUCAUGCCUUUCUCCAUCUAUAAAUCUCUCAAUGCAUGUGCACUAAAAGAAACAAGAGUUGUGAUUCAACUAACUGAUAGAUCUGUGGUAUAUCCCAUAGGUGUUCUAGAAGAUGUGUUAGUCCAAGUAAAUGAGCUUGUCUUUCCUGCUGAUUUUUAUGUGAUUGAUACUAAGGAAGAUAGUUAUAAUACUAGUUCUGAUAUCCUUCUUGGACGUCCUUUCUUGAGUACUGCUAGAACUAAGAUUGAUGUGCAUGAUGGUACUCUCACUAUGGAAUUUGAAGGGGAAGUCAUCAAAUAUAAUGUCUAUGAUUCCAUGAAAUAUCCACAUGAUAUAUCCCCUGUUUAUGGUCUUGAUAUUGUUGACUGCUUGAGCCAGUAAAUUUUUAAUGAAAAUCAAGAUGAUAUUCUUAACAGUGAUUUCUGCAGAGAUACUGAUCAGGUACAGAUUAAGAAGGAGCCAAAACCUAAGGAAACGGUUUGUAGCAUCCAACAGAUAGUUUGCAGUCAAGCGCAGAUUGGAGAAAACUCAGUUGCAGCACUUCAGAAUGGUGUGCAGACCCUUCUUGAGCAAAAAGAGGCACCUGAAGACCCCUUAGGCGCAUCCUUUCAGCCUCCCACGCAAAACAGCUCCAUUCCGCCCCCCUUUCAGUAUACUCCUGCGCAAGAAGAAGCACCUGAAAGCCUUUCAAGCACAUCAUCUCAGUCCCAAUCUCAAAUCUCUCCCACUCUCUAUCCAACGCAGACAAGCCAAGCACGAAUGGAAAAAGGAGAGCCUAGUUCAGUCAGAAAUCCAUCUCAGAAAAUCUCAGAAUCAGAUCUGAAGCCUCUUCCAGGCCAUCUGAAAUACAUAUACUUAGGAGCUGACAAGACACUACCAGUAAUAGUGUCCAAUGAAUUGAACCAACAUGAAGAAGCAAGCCUCCUGAAAGUACUGCAGAAACACAAAGGAGCCAUAGGAUGGACCAUUGAUGACAUAAAAGGUAUUUCUCCUUCCACAUGCAUGCAUAGAAUUCACAUGGAAGAUGAAUGCAAGCCAGUUCGAGAUGCUCAAAGAAGACUGAAUCCACCUAUGAUGGAAGUAGUAAAAAAAGAAAUAGUCAAGCUCCUUGAUGCAGGUAUCAUCUACCCAAUCUCUGAUAGCAAAUGGGUGAGUCCUGUGCAUGUAGUCCCAAAGAAAACUGGGAUCACCAUUGUUCCAAAUGCUGAAGGAGAACUUAUUCCAACUAGAGUUCAAAAUGGAUGGAGAGUAUGCAUGGACUAUAGGAAGCUCAAUGCUGCAACAAGGAAGGACCACUUCCCAUUGCCUUUCAUUGAUCAGAUGCUAGAAAGGCUUGCAGGUAAAACUCACUAUUGUUGUCUUGAUGGUUAUUCAGGUUUCUAUCAAAUUCCAGUUGCCCCAAAGGACCAAGAGAAAACCACCUUCACUUGUCCCUUUGGCACUUUUGCCUUUAGAAGAAUGCCAUUUGGACUAUGCAAUGCACCUGCCACUUUUCAACGGUGCAUGAUGAGCAUAUUUUCUGACUACGUGGGUAAGACAAUUGAGGUAUUUAUGGAUGACUUCACAGUUCAUGGAAAUUCUUUUGAUGAAUGCCUUACCAAUUUAGAAAAGAUCUUGCAAAGAUGCAUUGAGACUAACCUUGUGCUUAAUUAUGAAAAAUGCCAUUUUAUGGUUAAUCAAGGUAUGGUCUUAGGUCAUGUUUUUUCAGCUAAAGGCAUUGAAGUGGACAAAGCAAAGGUGGAUACCAUCAAAAAUCUGCCUUAUCCCACAACUGUUAAAGACAUCCAAUCAUUCCNNNN
rnacentral:lncRNA from 1 species